GGGUGCGAUCAUACCUGCACUAAUGCACCGGUUCCCAUCAGAACUCCAUAGUCAAGCGUGCUUGAGCGAGAGUAGUACUGGGAUGGGUGAUCCCUUGGAAAGUCCUCGUGUUGCACCCC